rnacentral:misc_RNA from 1 species
GAUGAAGAACGUAGCGAAAUGCGAUACGUAAUGUGAAUUGCAGAAUUCAGUGAAUCAUCGAAUCUUUGAACGCAUAUUGCGCUCUCUGGUAUUCCGGAGAGCAUGCUUGUUUGAGUAUCAGUAAACACCUCAACUCUUUUUUCUUUUUUGAAAUUGGAGCUGGACUUGAGUGAUCCCAACGCUUUCUUCCAAGAAAGUGGCGGGUUGCUUGAAAUGCAGGUGCAGCUGAACUUUUCUCUGAGCUAUAAGCAUAUCUAUUUAGUCUGCCUAAAAAACAGAUUAUUACCUUUGCUGCAGCUAACAUAAAGGAGACUAGUUCUUGUGCUGACUGAUGCAGGAUUCACAGAGACAGCUUCGGCUGACUUUGUAAACUCGAUCUCAAAUCAAGUAAGACUACCCGCUGAACUUAAGCAUAUCAAUAACGGAGGA